UUUAAGUGCAACCAUGAGUUUCUGUGUACAACUUUGAUCAUCCGUCUUAUUUAAUUAGUAUUUUUAUUGUUAUGAGAUAAUAAAACAUGAAUAAUACUUUAUGCAUGACUUAUGUUUUUAAAUUUUUUCAAAAAAAUUUCAAAUAAAGUUAGGUUAAAAAAAAUGGCUGCACUUAAA
rnacentral:pre_miRNA from 1 species